rnacentral:rRNA from 1 species
GACGAACGCUGGCGGCAGGCUUAACACAUGCAAGUCGAGCGCUCGCAGCAAUGCGGGAGCGGCAGACGGGUGAGUAACGCGUGGGAACAUACCCUCCGGUACGGAAUAACUCAGGGAAACUUGAGCUAAUACCGUAUACGGUCGAGAGGCGAAAGAUUUAUCGCCGGAGGAUUGGCCCGCGUUCGAUUAGCUAGUUGGUGUGGUAAUGGCGCACCAAGGCGACGAUCGAUAGCUGGUCUGAGAGGAUGAUCAGCCACAUUGGGACUGAGACACGGCC